GACGAACGCUGGCGGCGUGCCUAAUACAUGCAAGUAGAACGCACAGUUUAUACCGUAGCUUGCUACACCAUAGACUGUGAGUUGCGAACGGGUGAGUAACGCGUAGGUAACCUGCCUGGUAGCGGGGGAUAACUAUUGGAAACGAUAGCUAAUACCGCAUAAUAUUGAUUAUUGCAUGAUAAUUAAUUGAAAGGUGCAAUUGCACCACUACCAGAUGGACCUGCGUUGUAUUAGCUAGUAGGUGAGGUAACGGCUCACCUAGGCGACGAUACAUAGCCGACCUUAGAGGGUGAUCGGCCACACUGGGACUGAGACACGGCCCAGACUCCUACGGGAGGCAGCAGUAGGGAAUCUUCGGCAAUGGACGAAAGUCUGACCGAGCAACGCCGCGUGAGUGAAGAAGGUUUUCGGAUCGUAAAGCUCUGUUGUAAGAGAAGAACGGGUGUGAGAGUGGAAAGUUCACACUGUGACGGUAUCUUACCAGAAAGGGACGGCUAACUACGUG
rnacentral:rRNA from 1 species